UUUCUAUGGAGAGUUUGAUCCUGGCUCAGGACGAACGCUGGCGGCGUGCCUAAUACAUGCAAGUCGAGCGGAUCAAAUAGAAGCUUGCUUCUAUUUGGUUAGCGGCGGACGGGUGAGUAACACGUGGGCAACCUGCCCUGUAGACGGGGAUAACACCGAGAAAUCGGUGCUAAUACCGGAUAACACGAAAUGUCGCAUGACGUUUCGUUGAAAGACGGCGCAAGCUGUCGCUACAGGAUGGGCCCGCGGCGCAUUAGCUAGUUGGUGAGGUAACGGCUCACCAAGGC
rnacentral:rRNA from 1 species